rnacentral:lncRNA from 1 species
GAAGUUGACGGCGCUCAUAGUCAACGACAACGUCGUGUGCUACGGACCUGGAGAUCCAUUGACUCCUGGCCAGCAUGUUUCGACGAUAAGUCUUCAGCACAUGCUUUUCUUUAAAUCUGGUACAAAUGGAUUGUAUCCCGUACAUAACCAACCUCAAACCCAACGACCGGAAGUCGUAUACGGACAUCAAACGCCAUCAACUUCACACAUAAACCCGACCAAUUUCAUCAGUUAUGUUGACAAUACCAACGAUAACACUAGGAAACCUGAUGGCCAAACAUAUUACGUGGUAGAUAACGGUCGCCCGGUGUACCAAUCACCAGACAUAUAUCCGGAGUCGUUCCCGGACUACUUUAAUUAGCCUAACUUUAUUGUAGAUACUCCCGAAAGGCAAACUACAAGAGUAAC